GCUUCCUACGGGACGCAGCAGUGAGGAAUAUUGGUCAAUGGGCGGGAGCCUGAACCAGCCAAGUCGCGUGAAUGAAGAAGGUCUUAGGAUUGUAAAAUUCUGUCCUAUGGGAAGAAACAAAUGACGGUACCAUAGGAGGAAGCCCCGGCUAACUACGUGCCAGCAGCCGCGGUAAUACGUAGGGGGCGAGCGUUGUCCGGAAUUACUGGGCGUAAAGAGAGCGUAGGCGGCACUACAAGUCUCAUGUGAAAUACCCGGGCUUAACUUGGGGGUUGCAUGGGAAACUGUAGAGCUUGAGUACAGGA
rnacentral:rRNA from 1 species